rnacentral:lncRNA from 1 species
AACCAGUUCUUUACUCCGUUCCUCAAUAAAGGAACUCGUUUCAGGAAUCCGUUCCUUUUGGAACGCGUUCUUCCAAACACUGUUCACAUUUAAUCCCUUUUUCUUGCACAAUCAAGCAAUUUGCAACAAUUAAAAAACCUCGUUCGUAGUGUACUAAAAGUAAAGCAUAAUAUUCAAAAAAGGAAUGUAAAGCAUCACAUUCUUUUUUCAGAAAUUGUUGUUAAGCCUAUUGAUAAAGGAAGUUGGUUGGUUCUGAUGAUGCGGAUUACUAUAGAGAUAAACUUGUAUAUUGAGUACAUUUAUUAACGGAAAUAUAUAAUAAAACUUUUAGAUAUGAUUCUAAUAGUUUAACAUCUGUGAGAUCUUUUAAAUCAUAACCUUAUUGCUCAGGUUUAUGAAAAGCUAUUUAUAAAAAUUCAACGCUAAAAAAAUAAUGUAAGAUUAAAGGUAAUUCCUGUUUUAUUUAAAAGGUACGUUAAUGAUUAGUUCAAGUCUUUAAAGUUAAAAUUAGUUAAAAAAGAAUUAAAAUUGUUCUGUUUUUAUCUUCUGUUCUAUAUCUAAAAGCUAUUGAAAUAUUUAUUGCAUUAUUAUUCAUUUAUUUUAUAUGUUACGAAAGACCUACUAAGCCUGAAGUUUUACAGGUCGAAAUAUAUAUGUCAGCAAAAAAGUAAACAACUGUAUAAUAUAUAGAAUAGAAUACAAAUACAUGAAUAUUAUAUAUGUAUUUGAAAAAUAGUAUAUAUGUAUUAGUAAACUAAAUGACUAAACUUAUUUAAAACACUUUUAACAUGUUUAGUUACAAGUUAGUGUUAUGUUUUGAUGUAUCUCAACCAAAUAAGUGUUAAAAUUUCAGCAAAAUGUCAUAUCGCCAGGCUGUUUGGUUGGAAGAAACAAAAGUUUGAUAUUUUCUUGAGUUGUUAUUUUAUUUUGUGAUAUUAUAAUUUACAUUCACAAAAUAGUAAAUAAUUUACUUGUUAAAUUUAUUUUUCAUUGCUUUGGAUGUUUUGUUAUUCUUUUUACAGAUUGUUAUGAGGAUUGCAAAAAUUUUUAAUAACUGAAACUGAAGAAGACAUUGAUAAUUAGCAGAUAACAAAAAAGCGCAAAAGUACUGAUUAUACAACUCUAGUUUGUCAAUAUUUAUAUAGAAACUAAUAAUAUAUAAACUUAAAAUGAUAACAUAUACUAAAUAUAUAAACUGCUAAAAAAUAUGCAAAAAUAUAUAAACUUAUUAUUAAUCUAUAAUUUUGCAUUAUUCUAAUCUAAAUUAAAUUUUUUCAUAAUUUCAUCGGAGUUAAUAUUACUAGUAAUAUUACUAUAAUUACAGUAGAAAUGAUUAAUUAUGGAAAAAUUGCACAAAAAAUAAUGUUGUGUAUAUAUAUUUAUAUUAUGUAAUAUAUUAUAAAUUUAAAAGUAAUAGUCUUAUUUAGUUUGCUCUAAUUUUUAAGUAUAAAAAAAAGAAGAAAGUUUUAAUAAGUAAAUGAUAAACCAUUUUUACGGUAUAGUAAAAUAGUUUUUAUUUUUCAGUUGAGGAAGAAUUUUAUGUUAAUAUUAAUGCAAAAGGUUCGAAUAUUGACAGGUUAGCUAAUUUGAUGUUACAAUAAACAUAAUAUUAAGUAUGUGAAGAUAUAGCAUACAUCCAUGAUGCAUACAAGUAUAAAAAAAAAUUACAAAUACUCAAUUAUACAAAAAGAUUAUGGAUGUGGUACCACAAGUAUAUAUAAUUGAUUAUGCAAGUAAGUUGUCGUACUUUAAAUAUUUGAAGACUAAUAAUAAUUGUAAUAAACAUAUCUCUGUAAUUAACAGUAUACACUUGGAUUUACAUUUUAGUUAAAUCAUCACCACUUCAACAGCCAUCUUGUCUCAAGCAUUCAAUUGCAUUCUAAGAUAUCUUUAUUUAAAUCAAGUGUGACUACUAUACCAAAAUAAUGUAGAAUGGUCCAAUUAUCCUGAAAAUUGAGUUCUAAAAUACUAUUAUUCACUGUAUCAAAUACUAUAUCAAAAGACAAUCUAAUGGAUUGAUCAAGUAAUACUUAAUUUUUAGUAUUAGUUGCAUGUUAGUACAUAUAUGAUUUUUAUAUAAAAAGUUUAGUUAUUAUGAUUGAUUAGUUUUUAACUUUAAGAAUUUUAAGAUUUACAAUUUUAUUUUUGCAUGUUUAUUUAUAUUGUAGUAACACUGUCGGUAUUUCCACAACUUUUCAAUUGAAUAAGAAAGUUUCAAUCAAACAGGGUACUGAGUGUGCAUACUGCUCCUCAAGACAAUGGAUAAUGGGAAACUUGUAUUGAAAGAAGAUUGUACAUCUUCGGUACCCGCAAUACGGUAUUGUGCAUUGGUUCCCAUCUUAAAAUGGCUCUCUUCCGUAUAGGUGAAAAUAGAAAAGGUUAUGUCCUUUUUUCUAACUCUUAAGACGAAGAGGCUUAAUCGGUUCAAGCAAAGAUGAAUAUGAUCAUUAUGGAGCCGAUCAUGAUAGCGAAUACGAUAAUGCAUAUAAUAAUAAAUAAAAUGAUUUUACUUGUAUUUCAGAAUUAUAUAAAUAAAAAAUUAUCUGUUUAA